AACCUUUUUCACUUAAUAUGUUGUUUAGUAUUAUAUCAGUUUACUUACAAUAAAUGAUAUGACACUAAACAACAUAUUAAGUGAAAAAUUAAUGGUU
rnacentral:pre_miRNA from 1 species